rnacentral:tRNA from 1 species
GCGCCCGUAGCUCAGCUGGAUAGAGUGUCUGAUUCCGGAUCAGAAGGUCGCAGGUUCGAAUCCUGCCGGGCGUACCA